GUGCUCACUUUGGCAGCACAUAUAACCAAAAUCAAGAUGAUGCAUGGGAGAUUAGCAUGGUCCCUGUGAAAGGGUGGCACAUGCAAAUUUGUGAAUUGUUCCUUUUUU